GGAGUCCCCGGUUAUUGUGAUCCUGGUGGCAGCCUCUGCGGCCAAUAGGGUCCCUUUUAGGUUCUCCGUCCGUUUUAGGUUUGUCCGUCCGUCCGUAAGUAUUGUCGUAGUAUUGUUGGGGUUUUCUGAUGUGCUGCUUUCUCAGCACCGUAAGGUCGACAUUGGCUGAUGGGCAAGGAAAUAUCCUCUACUAUCCACUACCUAACCUAACUAUGAGCUCAUCCUUAGGUUACUCUAUAGAACCCAACCAAAGGAAAAAACUUUUUUAACAAAAUAAAUCCGUCGAGAGUCAACCUUCUGUAUGCCUAUCUGUUUAUAGUCGGAGAAACUUUUUGGACUACCUUAUGGACACUGGGGUAUGCGACAGCGUCUAGGUCCCUCGGUGGAGUAGCAACAGGGGUUGUGGAUAUGCCAAUUGCAGCAGCUGAAGUAUUUUAUGUUGUGGCAGUGGAGGCGGAGGAGUCUUGGCUUUCGCUUUUUGUUUUUUAGCUUUAAACUUUACAUUGUAGGAUUGAUUUUUUUCUAUUUCUUUUCAGUGUUUUCUUCUUUACUAAAUGUUUCUUUUUCUUUUACAGGUUUUUUACAACUUUACUUUUUUUACUUUUCUAUUUCUUUUAUUCUUUUAUUUUUCA